rnacentral:tRNA from 1 species
GCGGCAAAAGCUUAAAAUGAGCAUCGGUCUUGUAAAUCGAAGGAUGAAGUUUACCUUCUUGCCGUA